AUUUAAAUAGCUUAAAAUUAGAGUUUAAUAUUGAAGAUAUUAAGGUGAUUUAUUAAAAUCUUUAAAUA
rnacentral:tRNA from 1 species